rnacentral:lncRNA from 1 species
UCCGAUCAUCAGGUACCAUUGCUAGAUGGUCACUUCGAUUAGUACAGGAAUUGAUUUCUGUGCUACCGAUUUAGGUUCGAACCUGUGGGGUCACACACAUUAGAGGUUCCUAUCUGAUCUGAUGGCUGAUAAAGAGUCCUAAUGCUCAUGGACUAUGAGUCCUAUGUGUCUGAGACUCUGUGAUCGAGAAUCAGGAUUCUCUGAUCAUGAGUCC